rnacentral:rRNA from 1 species
GAUGAACGCUGGCGGCGUGCUUAACACAUGCAAGUCGAACGGAAAGGCCCUGCUUUUGCGGGGUUCUCGAUUGGCGAAGGGGUGUGUAACACGUGUGUAACCUGCCCUUGACUUUGUGAUAACUUCACGGAAAUGGGGCGAAUACCGGCGAGGAGCUCCUGCUGCACGGUGGGGGUUGGUAAGUUUCGGCGGUUGGGGAUGGACUCGCGGCUUAUCAGCUUGUUGGUGGGGUAGUGGCGUACCAAGGCUUUGACGGGUAGCCGGCCUGAGCGGGUGACCGGCCACAAUAGGCCUGCGGUACGGCCCAGACUCCUACGGGAGGCAGCAGUGGAGAGUAUUACACAGUGGGCGGACGCAUGAUGAGGAAACGCCGCGUGCGGGAUGACGGGCUUCGAGUUGUAAACCGCUUUCGACUUAGACGAAGCGUGAGUGACGGUACUGAGUAAAGAAGCACCGGCUAACUACGUG